rnacentral:lncRNA from 1 species
GGAUUAUGCAACCCAUCCUGAAAAUAUCAUAAAGGAAUGGUAUCAUCUACACAGCUGACUUUAACAUGAUUUUCUAUAUAAAGCUUUAUGCUUAAAUAUGUAGAGUGGAAAAAUGAAUCUGAAGUUAUAUUUUUAAGUAAAUAAAAGCCCGCCAGUGUGCAUUACCUUCAAUUAUCUUUGUAUUUCAACGAGAAGCAGUCUUAUUAUAAUUCUUGCCUAUAAUGUUCAGAUAUUUAGGCACAUGCUCAAUUCAUGUUCAUGGGAGCUUAUUUCCUUUCCAUUUUGGGCCAGUUUUCAGGCCAGCUCUGGUAUUCUACAGAGGCGGGGACAUGUGUUGUAAGGGCUUUGUGUCUCCCUGAGCUCCUGGUAUGGUGUUCUGCGUAGGCUGAAACGUUAUGAAGGUUUUCUACAGGAUGGCGGUGUUAGGACGGACGGCGAUGAAGAGGACUAUAACGGUGACACUGAUAGACACGGCCCUGCACUGGGCCACGCGGAGGUCUCCGAGUGCUGUGAAGCUCAGCCUCACCGAGGUUAAACGCAGCACACAACCAGCCCCGCUAACGACGUUGCAAUUCCAACGCUGAGCCCUCCACCGGCACCUCCUAGAUCUGCAGCCACUUCAUUUCGAUGUCAUCACGCGUGUUGUGAAUGUACAGGGCACACCUGCUUCGGCACGCAUCCUGGGCUGGAGGAAACAGGGCUUUGUGAAUCCAUCCACAUCGUUGCAGUUGACUUUCUAGUUCUUUAAACCAUAAUGUAUUCACCUUUUUAAAAAAAAUGUGGGUUUAUCAACUUGGCCAGGGAUGGAACUGUUUUCCCACUUUUGCUGGCUUACUAGUUGUGUAUCUUAAAUUGUGCAAGUUAGCAGUGUAAUCUUAGAAUUGAUAAGCUAGCCAGUUGACAUAGUGAUGACAAAAUGAAGUGAAUUUUAGAUAAAACUUUGGACAGUUAUUUCCAGUUAAGACUGAAAACAUGGGAAAAUACUUAGGAUAAUGUUAAAUGAAAAAACCCAAAUGCAAAAUUAAUGUGCCUACAUACUCUUAAGUGAAAUCAAUAGGACACAUAUGUGUAAAUAGCAUACAGUUUCUCUGGUGUGAAAAACUAAAAGUGUAAAUAAGGAUCAAAGUGUAUAAUUGAUAUUGUGCAAUAGGAAGAAAAGGUCUAAAGGUGAGGGGAAGUGGGUGGGGUAGGGAAAAGGUAAGAAGGGAAAAGAAAAAAAUAUGACAAAAUGAUAAAAUGGAAAUAAAGUGUUUGUAAAUGGGGAAAUGAGGAGGGGGUAAAGAGAGGGCAUGGACAAGGGGAAAAAAUGAGAACCAAGACCUGUCAUGUAAAGGUAAAAGAUCCCAAC